rnacentral:rRNA from 1 species
AUUGAACGCUGGCGGCAGGCCUAACACAUGCAAGUCGAGCGAGCGGCGGACGGGUGAGUAAUGCCUAGGAAUCUGCCUGGUAGUGGGGGAUAACUACUGGAAACGGUAGCUAAUACCGCAUACCAUCGGAUGUGCCCAGAGGGGAUGUGCUUGUAGGUUAGGUAACGGCUCACCUAGGCGACGAUCCCUAGCUGGUCUGGGAGGGUGACCAGCCACACUUGAACUGAGACACGGUCCAGACUCCUACGUGAGGCAGCAGUGGGGAAUAUUUCACAAUGGGCGCAAGCCUGAUGCAGCCAUGCCGUGUGUAUGCAGAAGGCCUUCGGGUUUUAAAGUUCUUUCAGCGGGGAGGCGUUACCCGCAGAAGAAGCACCGGCUAACUCCGUGCCAGCCGCCGCGGUAAUUC